CACUCGUGUGGCCUAGUGGUUAGAGCGUCCGCCUCGGAAGCGGGAGGUCGCGGUUUUGAAUCUCGGCUGGGUCA